UCAUUUUCUCUUGCAGCCGCCAUGAUUCUGAGGCCUUCCCAGCUAUGUGGAACUAUGACUGUGAUGAUCCUCUUGUGUCUGCCUUGCCUCAGGCAUCCUUCAGCAGUUCUUCCGAGCUCUCCAGCAGUCAUGGUCCUGGAUUUGCAAGGCUGAAUAGAAGAGAUGGAGCUGGUGGCUGGUCUCCACUUGUGUCUAACAAAUACCAGUGGUUGCAGAUUGACCUUGGAGAGAGAAUGGAGGUCACCGCUGUGGCCACUCAAGGGGGAUAUGGUAGCUCCAACUGGGUGACCAGCUACCUCCUGAUGUUCAGUGAUAGUGGCUGGAACUGGAAACAAUAUCGCCAAGAGGACAGCAUCUGGGGUUUUUCAGGAAAUGCAAAUGCAGACAGUGUUGUGUACUAUAGACUCCAGCCUUCUAUCAAAGCCAGAUUUCUGCGCUUCAUCCCUUUGGAAUGGAACCCCAAGGGCAGAAUUGGAAUGCGAAUCGAAGUGUUCGGAUGUGCAUACAGAUCAGAAGUGGUUGAUCUUGAUGGAAAAAGUUCCCUUCUCUACAGAUUUGAUCAAAAAUCCCUGAGCCCAAUAAAAGACAUUAUUUCUUUGAAAUUCAAAACCAUGCAGAGUGAUGGGAUUCUACUCCACAGGGAAGGGCCAAAUGGAGAUCACAUCAUACUGCAAUUAAGAAGAGGAAGACUCUUUUUACUUAUUAAUUCAGGUGAAGCUAAACUGCCUUCCACUUCCACCCUGGUCAAUCUCACCCUGGGCAGCCUGCUAGAUGAUCAGCAUUGGCAUUCAGUGCUCAUCCAGCGUUUGGGCAAACAAGUCAACUUCACAGUGGACGAACACAGGCAUCAUUUCCAUGCACAGGGAGAAUUCAAUCUCAUGAAUCUUGAUUAUGAGAUCAGCUUUGGAGGGAUUCCAGCACCUGGAAAAUCAGUGUCAUUCCCACAUAGAAAUUUUCAUGGAUGUUUAGAAAAUCUCUAUUAUAAUGGAGUGGAUAUCAUUGAUUUGGCCAAGCAGCAAAAACCACAGAUCAUUGCUAUGGGAAAUGUGUCAUUUUCUUGUUCACAACCACAAUCUAUGCCCGUGACUUUUCUGAGCUCCAGGAGUUAUUUAGCACUGCCAGACUUCUCUGGAGAGGAGGAGGUUUCUGCCACUUUUCAAUUUCGAACUUGGAAUAAGGCAGGGCUUCUGCUGUUCAGUGAACUUCAGCUGAUUUCAGGGGGUAUCCUCCUCUUUCUGAGUGAUGGAAAACUUAAGUCGAAUCUCUACCAGCCAGGAAAAUUACCCAGUGACAUCACAGCAGGUGUCGGAUUAAAUGAUGGGCAGUGGCAUUCUGUCUCUUUAUCUGCUAAAAAGAAUCACUUGAGUGUGGCGGUGGACGGCCAGAUGGCUUCUGCUGCUCCUCUCCUGGGGCCUGAGCAGAUUUAUUCAGGUGGCACCUAUUAUUUUGGAGGUUGUCCUGACAAAAGCUUUGGAUCCAAAUGUAAAAGUCCACUUGGUGGAUUUCAGGGAUGUAUGAGGCUCAUUUCUAUCAGCGGCAAAGUGGUAGAUCUGAUUUCAGUUCAGCAGGGGUCCCUUGGGAACUUCAGUGACCUUCAGAUAGACUCAUGUGGCAUCUCAGACAGGUGUUUGCCCAACUAUUGUGAACACGGUGGGGAGUGUUCCCAGUCCUGGAGCACCUUUCAUUGUAACUGUACCAACACUGGUUACAGAGGAGCUACUUGCCAUAACUCUAUCUAUGAGCAGUCAUGUGAAGCCUAUAAGCACAGAGGAAAUACUUCAGGGUUUUACUAUAUAGAUUCAGAUGGAAGUGGUCCCCUGGAACCAUUUCUUCUAUAUUGCAAUAUGACCGAAACUGCAUGGACCAUCAUACAGCACAACGGCUCUGACUUAACAAGAGUCAGAAAUACUAAUCCAGAGAACCCAUAUGCUGGGUUUUUCGAGUAUGUGGCCAGCAUGGAGCAACUUCAGGCCGCUAUUAACCGUGCAGAGCACUGUGAACAGGAGUUUACUUAUUACUGCAAGAAGUCACGGCUGGUCAAUAAGCAAGAUGGAACCCCUCUGAGUUGGUGGGUAGGAAGAACCAAUGAAACGCAAACCUACUGGGGAGGUUCUUCGCCUGAUCUUCAAAAAUGUACUUGUGGAUUAGAGGGAAACUGCAUUGAUUCUCAGUAUUACUGCAAUUGUGAUGCUGACCGGAAUGAAUGGUGAUUUCCAUAUGAUUUCUUUAUGCAAGAAAAAGUUCAUUUAAAAAAAUUAAUCACUCAAAGUAUGUAUAGCUAGCCAGAUACUGAACAAGUUAGUGCAAUGAAGUAAUUAAAUAAAGGUUUGUUUUAAUG
rnacentral:sRNA from 1 species